AGUUCCCAAUCCGACAAUUACAAUAAAACAAAUCUUUUUUUGUUCAAUUAAAUGUUUAUUUUAUGUAUUUAUAAUUAUACAUUUUUUUAUUUAACUAGGCAAGUCAGUUAAGAACAAAUUCUUAUUUCUUAUUUACAACCCAGGGCCAUACCAGGACGAUGCUGGGCCAAUUGUGCGCCGCCCUAUGGGACUCUCCAGUCAUGGCCAGGUGUGAUGCUUACCUUUGAAACCCAAAGGACUUUUAUUGUUGAGGCAAGCCGAAGUUGGUAGUCGAAGUCCCCGCCCUUUUGACUCUGGGCUCCCGAGUGGCGCAGCGAUCUAAGGCACUGCAUCUCAGUGCUAGAGGCAUCACUACAGACCCUGGUUCGUAUUCCAGGCUGUAUCACAACCGGCUGUGAUUCGGAGUCCAAUAGGGUAUGGAAAGCUAUGAAAGCCUGGUUUGCAGAUGAAGAGAGAGGUCCCAAUGAAUGUCCCAAUAGACUAAGGGUAUAUCCUGUAUGCCAUGGGUUAAAUGUGUAGGCCUACCUAUGUUAGCGAAUGUUGCAUACAAAAACCACACUUAAUCAUCACACACAAUAUAUAAACCUAUUCAAAUUAGAGCAGGCCAACCCUGCUGUAGCUCUGCUGUGUGUGCAGGGUUAUGUUUCAGCCCUGCAAUAACACACCUGAUUUAAACUUAUCAAAUCUAGUUGAUAAUCAAGUGUGCUAUUGCUGAGCUGGAAUAAAAGCCUGCUCGGCCAGUAGAUCUAUUGCUGGGCUGGAAUAAAAGUCUGCUCGGCCAGUAGAUCUAUUCCUGGGCUGGAAUAAAGGUCUGCUCAGCCAGUAGAUAUAUUGCUGAGCUGGAAUAAAAGUCUCCUCAGCCAGUAGAUCUAUUGCUGAGCUGGAAUAAAGGUCUGCUCAGCCAGUAGAUCUAUUGCUGAGCUGGAAUAAAGGUCUGCUCAGCCAGUAGAUCUAUUGCUGAGCUGGAAUAAAAGUCUGCUCAGCCAGUAGCUCUAUUCCUGGGCUGGAACAAAGGUCUGCUCAGCCAGUAGAUCUAUUGCUGAGCUGGAAUAAAAGUCUGCUCAGCCAGUAGAUCUAUUCCUGGGCUGGAACAAAGGUCUGCUCAGCCAGUAGAUCUAUUGCUGAGCUGUAAUAAAAGUCUGCUCAGCCAGUAGAUCUAUUGCUGAGCUGGAAUAAAAGUCUGCUCAGCCAGUAGCUCUAUUCCUGGGCUGGAACAAAGGUCUGCUCAGCCAGUAGAUCUAUUGCUGAGCUGGAAUAAAGGUCUGCUCAGCCAGUAGAUCUAUUCCUGGGCUGGAACAAAGGUCUGCUCAGCCAGUAGAUCUAUUCCAUUGAUCAGUAGAGCGAGGUAGGUGUUUUGGAGUUUUUUAUUGUUUACCUGAAAUGAUGAUGUAGUAAUAACAGCCAACUUGUUCCUGCUCCACUAUCUAGUGUUGUUUAGACUACGAUGUCUAAUCUUUACAUACCAGUAGGCUUAUUUAUACAUUUUGAAAGUGAUAAUUCUUUGAAGUGAAGUGUUUAAACUUGUUUUAAUUGUUAAACUAUUAUUCAAAAUGAACUAGUGUCAAUGUUUAUUAAUCACAUAUCACAAUCGUGUAAUAAAGAGGGGAAGGGGUUCUGUCUGUAAAGUGUCUGUAAAGUGUCUGUAACAUGUCUGUGUUUCUGUGUUUUAUUCUCAAAUGAGGGAGCCUGUUCCUCCUGCCUGCCGCUGCAGCUCUGCUCUCUGAGGGAGCCUGUUCCUCCUGUCUGCCGCUGCAGCUCUGCUCUCUGAGGGAGCCUGUUCCUCCUG